GCCUGGGUGGCUCAGUCGGUUAAGCGUCUGACUUUGGUUCAGGUCAUGAUCUCACAGUUUGUGGGUUCGAGCCCACAUCGGGCU
rnacentral:tRNA from 1 species